UACGUAGGGUGCAAGCGUUAAUCGGAAUUACUGGGCGUAAAGCGCACGUAGGCGGAUUUGUAAGUCAGGGGUGAAAUCCCGGGGCUCAGCCUCGGAACUGCCUUUGAUACUGCGAAUCUUGAGUCCGAUAGAGGUGGGUGGAAUUCCUAGUGUAGAGGUGAAAUUCGUAGAUAUUAGGAAGAACACCAGUGGCGAAGGCGGCCCACUGGAUCGGUACUGACGCUGAGUGCGAAAGCGUGGGGAGCAAACAGG
rnacentral:rRNA from 1 species